AUCAUAUUUUCAUAAUUUUAUCAGAAAAUAAUAUUAUUUUUGUGUGUACGGACUACGAAUAACCAAUUGCCAAUAAUUGGUCAUUAGCGCACAAUCAGUUAUACACUAUUACAAUAUUGCAUGUAUAGCCCCCUGCGCUGUUUUACACUUUUGUAAUAUUUAUUAAUUGGGUUCGUAUUAUUCGUAUCGUGUUCGUUGUUGUCUGCUUGACGUUCCUACAGAUUGUUAAUAAUUGUAUUGCAUCAGGUUGCAGAUUUAGAAGAACCAAUUUACCCUGGCCAAAUUAUCAAAAAUAUUUUAAAGUAUUAAGAGUCAUUGAGGAUAAUUUUUUUACAAGAAGCUGAAAGUGGAGUGCUCAAGUUGUGUCGAUACAAAGUGUUACAAGGUGGAUUCACGUUCAAACUCUAAUAUAAGAAAACAUUUAAGCACACAACAUUCAACUAUAUUAAAGAAAAUUGAUCACAUUGAUAAUGCAGCGAACAUAAACACUUCAAAGAGAUGCAAUGAUGGAUCAUUGAAGCAUAAUGCUUUUAGUUCUUUGGAACAACCAGUUUUAGAAGAUGUUUUGAAGAACAA